GACGAACGCUGGCGGCGUGCUUAACACAUGCAAGUCUACGAGAAAGAGGUAGCAAUAUCUUGAGUAAAGUGGCGCACGGGUGAGUAACACGUAAGCAAUCUACCCUUAGAUUGGGAAUAACCCCGAGAAAUUGGGGCUAAUACCGAAUAAUGCAGCGGCACCGCAUGGUGAUGUUGUUAAAAACCUUGAGUUGUCUAAGGAUGAGCUUGCGUCCGAUUAGCUAGUUGGUAGGGUAAUGGCCUACCAAGGCUACGAUCGGUAGCUGGUCUGAGAGGAUGAUCAGCCACACUGGAACUGAGACACGGUCCAGACUCCUACGGGAGGCAG
rnacentral:rRNA from 1 species